rnacentral:misc_RNA from 1 species
GAUGAAGAACGCAGCGAAAUGCGAUAAGUAGUGUGAAUUGCAGAAUUCAGUGAAUCAUCGAAUCUUUGAACGCACAUUGCGCCCCUUGGUAUUCCAUGGGGCAUGCCUGUUCGAGCGUCAUUUGUACCUUCAAGCUCUGCUUGGUGUUGGGUGUUUGUCUCGCCUCUGCGUGUAGACUCGCCUCAAAACAAUUGGCAGCCGGCGUAUUGAUUUCGGAGCGCAGUACAUCUCGCGCUUUGCACUCAUAGCGACGACGUCCAAAAGUACAUUUUUACACUCUUGACCUCGGAUCAGGUAGGGAUACCCGCUGAACUUAAGCAUAUCAAUAAGCGGAGGA